rnacentral:rRNA from 1 species
UACGGAGGGGGCAAGCGUUGUUCGGAAUUACUGGGCGUAAAGGGCUCGUAGGCGGCCAACUAAGUCAGACGUGAAAUCCCCAGGCUCAACCUGGGAACUGCGUCUGAUACUGGAUGGCUUGAAUUCGGGAGAGGGAUGCAGAAUUCCAGGUGUAGCGGUGAAAUGCGUAGAUAUCUGGAGGAAUACCGGUGGCGAAGGCGGCAUCCUGGACCGACAUUGACGCUGAUGAGCGAAAGCUAGGGGAGCGAACAGG